rnacentral:rRNA from 1 species
CUCAGUAACACGUGGCUAAUCUGCCCUUGGGACCGGAACACCCCCGGGAAACUGGGGCUAAUUCUCGAUAGGUGAAGAACUCUGGAAUGAGUCUUUGCUUAAAAGACGUUUACGUUAUGCUCGUAGGCGUCGCCCAAGGAUGAGGCCGCGACCGAUCAGGUUGUUGGUGAGGUAAUGGCUCACCAAGCCUUUUACCGGUGCGGGCCGUGAGAGCGGGAGCCCGGAGAUGGGCACUGAGACAAGGGCCCAGGCCCUACGGGGCGCAGCAGUCGCGAAAACUUUGCAAUACACGAAAGUGUGACAGGGCUAUCCCGAGUGCCAUCCGCUGAGGAAGGCUUUUACCCAGUCUAGAACGCUGGGGGAAUAAGGAGAGGGCAAGUCUGGUGUCAGCCGCCGCGGUAAUACCAGCUCUCCGAGUGGUGUGGAUGUUUAUUGGGCCUAAAGCAUCCGUAGCUGGCUAAGUUAGUCCCUUGUUAAAUCCACCGAAUUAAUCGUUGGAUUGCGGGGGAUACUGCUCGGCUAGGGGACGAGAGAGGCAGACGGUAUUUCUGGGGUAGGGGUGAAAUCCUAUAAUCCCAGGAGGACCACCAGUGGCGAAGGCUGUCUGCUAGAACGCGCCCGACGGUGAGGGAUGAAAGCUGGGGGAGCGAACCGGAUUAGAUACCCGGGUAGUCCCAGCUGUAAACGAUGCAGACUAGGUGUUUGGACGGCCACGUGCCGUUCUAGUGCCGCAGGGAAGCUGUUAAGUCUGCCGCCUGGGGAGUACGAUCGCAAGAUUGAAACUUAAAGGAAUUGGCGGG